CUAGGUAGCUGACUGUCUGCUUGGGAGAUGGAGGAGCAGGAGAGAGCUAUGGAAGAGGAUGCUCUGGACUCCAAGCCUCCACUGACCACUGAAGAGGAUGAGCCCAAACACACAGACCUCCACGGGUCUCAUAUCACUGAAACACAACAGGAGCCCAGUGAACCUGAAGAGAAUGAGACGAAGCCACAGUCCUCAGAGCUGCUUGUUAUCAACAGCAUAGCUCCUCCAGACAGCUGGGAACCAGCCCACACUGAUAUCGAACCUGAGCAACUGACAGAGACAGAAAUGCUGAUCCUGUCACAGACAGAGAAUCGGACAGCGAUACAGACACAGGACCAAACACAGACAUUAUCACAGACAGAGGAGUUUAUCAUACUUGAUCAGAAUGGACAGCCCAUACAGUGUGAACGCGUGGUGAUACUGACCGGUCAGUCAGACAACGGAGAGAUGUACGUUAUCCCCUCUAAUCAGGUAUUACUUCCUCGUGGACAACUACUGGACAUCAUAGACCUCACAGGAUCCUGCGGAGGGAAGACCGCGGAUGAGGAAGAGCUUCACACUAUCACGUUAACGGCCGUUACGGACGACAGCGGCGGUUCGACGACGGCCGUUACGGACGACAGCGGCGGUUCGACGUCGGCCGUUACGGACGACAGCGGCGGUUCGACGUCGGCCGUUACGGACGACAGCGGCGGUUCGACGUCGGCCGUUACGGACGGCAGCGGCGGUUCGACGUCGGUAACGUCGGCCGUUACGGACGGCAGCGGCGGUUCGACGACGGCCGUUACGGACGACAGCAGCGGUUCGACGACGGUAACAUCGGCUGCAGCUAACACCUCGGCACAGAGGUGGGCUCACAUCUACUUCUUACCGUUACACUCAGUAACUCUUUCAGGAAUAUUAGGUUCAUUUGACAAUAGUUGUAACUGUUACUGUAUUGUUGUGUUGCUGUUUAGCUCUCAGGACUGUUUCGCCUCUCUUCUGAAACCUCUCCCAUCCAACGCCCCCAUCUGGGCCCUGAGGCUUCAUAAUGCUGAGGUACGUCUACUAACUGGGCCCUGAGGCUUCAUAACGCUGAGGUACGUCUUCCAACUGGGCCCUGAGGCUUCAUAAUGCUGAGGUACGUCUACUAACUGGGCCCUGAGGCUUCAUAAUGCUGAGGUACGUCUACCAUCUGGGCCCUGGCGGCUUCAUAACGCUGAGGUACGUCUACCAUCUGGGCCCUGGGGGCUUCAUAAUGCGGAGGUACGUCUACCAUCUGGGCCCUGGGGGCUUCAUAACGCUGAGGUACGUCUUCCGUCUGGGCCCUGAGGCGUCAUAAUGCUGAGGUACGUCUACCAUCUGGGCCCUGAGGCUUCAUAACGCUGAGGUACGUCUACCAUCUGGGCCCUGAGGCUUCAUAACGCUGAGGUACGUCUUCCAUCUGGGCCCUGAGGCUUCAUAACGCUGAGGUACGUCUUCCAUCUGGGCCCUGAGACUUCAUAACGCUGAGGUACGUCUACCAUCUGGGCCCUGAGGCUUCAUAACGCUGAGGUACGUCUACCAUCUGGGCCCUGAGGCUUCAUAAUGCUGAGGUACGUCUUCCAUCUGGGCCCUGAGACUUCAUAACGCUGAGGUACGUCUACCAUCUGGGCCCUGAGGGCUUCAUAACGCUGAGGUACGUCUACCAUCUGGGCCCUGAGGCUUCAUAAUGCUGAGGUACGUCUACUAACUGGGCCCUGAGGCUUCAUAAUGCUGAGGUACGUCUACUAACUGGGCCCUGAGGCUUCAUAAUGCUGAGGUACGUCUACCAUCUGGGCCCUGAGGCAUCAUAAUGCUGAGGUACGUCUACCAUCUGGGCCCUGGCUGCUUCAUAACGCUGAGGUACGUCUACCAUCUGGGCCCUGGGGGCUUCAUAAUGCUGAGGUACGUCUUCCAACUGGGCCCUGAGGCUUCAUAAUGCUGAGGUACGUCUACUAACUGGGCCCUGGGGGCUUCAUAAUGCGGAGGUUCGUCUACCAUCUGGGCCCUGGGGGCUUCAUAACGCUGAGGUACGUCUUCCGUCUGGGCCCUGAGGCUUCAUAAUGCUGAGGUACGUCUACCAAUUGGGCCCUGAGGCUUCAUAACGCUGAGGUACGUCUUCCGUCUGGGCCCUGAGGCUUCAUAAUGCUGAGGUACGUCUACCAAUUGGGCCCUGAGGCUUCAUAAUGCUGAGGUACGUCUACCAUCUGGGCCCUGAGGCAUCAUAAUGCUGAGGUACGUCUACCAUCUGGGCCCUGAGGCUUCAUAAUGCUGAGGCUUCAUAAUGCUGAGGUACGUCUACCAACUGGGCCCUGAGGCUUCAUAAUGCUGAGGUACGUCUACCAUCUGGGCCCUGAGGCGUCAUAAUGCUGAGGUACGUCUACCAUCUGGGCCCUGAGGCUUCAUAAUGUUGAGGUACGUCUACCAACUGGGCCCUGAGGCUUCAUAAUGCUGAGGUACGUCUACCAUCUGGGCCCUGAGGCGUCAUAAUGCUGAGGUACGUCUACCAUCUGGGCCCUGAGACGUCAUAAUGCUGAGGUACGUCUACCAACUGGGCCCUGAGGCUUUAUAAUGCUGAGGCUUCAUAAUGCUGAGGUACGUCUACCAACUGGGCCCUGAGGCUUCAUAAUGCUGAGGCUUCAUAAUGCUGAGGCUUCAUAACGCUGAGGUACGUCUACCAUCUGGGCCCUGAGGCUUCAUAAUGCUGAGGUACGUCUACCAUCUGGGCCCUGAGGCUUCAUAACGCUGAGGUACGUCUACCAUCUGGGCCCUGAGGCUUCAUAACGCUGAGGUACGUCUACCAUCUGGGCCCUGAGACUUCAUAAUGCUGAGGUACGUCUACCAUCUGGGCUCUGAGACUUCAUAAUGCUGAGGCUUCAUAAUGCUGAGGUACGUCUACCAACUGGGCCCUGGGGGCUUCAUAACGCUGAGGUACGUCUACUAACUGGGCCCUGAGGCUUCAUAAUGCUGAGGUACGUCUACCAUCUGGGCCCUGGGGGCUUCAUAACGCUGAGGUACGUCUACCAUCUGGGCCCUGAGACUUCAUAAUGCUGAGGUACGUCUACCAUCUGGGCUCUGAGACUUCAUAAUGCUGAGGCUUCAUAAUGCUGAGGUACGUCUACCAUCUGGGCCCUGAGGGCUUCAUAACGCUGAGGUACGUCUACCAACUGGGCCCUGGAGGCUUCAUAAUGCUGAGGUACGUCUACCAUCUGGGCCCUGAGGCUUCAUAACGCUGAGGUACGUCUACCAUCUGGGCCCUGAGGCUUCAUAACGCUGAGGUACGUCUACCAUCUGGGCCCUGAGACGUCAUAAUGCUGAGGUACGUCUACCAACUGGGCCCUGAGGCUUUAUAAUGCUGAGGCUUCAUAAUGCUGAGGUACGUCUACCAACUGGGCCCUGGGGGCUUCAUAACGCUGAGGUACGUCUACCAUCUGGGCCCUGAGGCUUCAUAACGCUGAGGUACGUCUACCAUCUGGGCCCUGAGGCUUCAUAACGCUGAGGUACGUCUACCAUCUGGGCCCUGAGACUUCAUAAUGCUGAGGUACGUCUACCAUCUGGGCUCUGAGACUUCAUAAUGCUGAGGCUUCAUAAUGCUGAGGUACGUCUACCAACUGGGCCCUGGGGGCUUCAUAACGCUGAGGUACGUCUACUAACUGGGCCCUGAGGCUUCAUAAUGCUGAGGUACGUCUACCAUCUGGGCCCUGGGGGCUUCAUAACGCUGAGGUACGUCUACCAUCUGGGCCCUGAGGCUUCAUAAUGCUGAGGUACGUAUACCAACUGGGCCCUGAGGCGUCAUAAUGCUGAGGUACGUCUACCAUCUGGGCCCUGAGGCUUCAUAAUGCUGAGGUACGUCUACCAUCUGGGCCCUGAGGCUUCAUAACGCUGAGGUACGUCUACCAUCUGGGCUCUGAGACUUCAUAAUGCUGAGGCUUCAUAAUGCUGAGGUACGUCUACCAACUGGGCCCUGGGGGCUUCAUAACGCUGAGGUACGUCUACCAUCUGGGCCCUGAGGGGCUUAAUAAUGCUGACGUACGUCUACCAACUGGGCCCUGGGGGCUUCAUAACGCUGAGGUACGUCUUCCAUCUAGGCCCUGAGGCUUCAUAAUGCUGAGGUACGUAUUCCAUAUGGGCCCUGAGGCUUCAUAAUGCUGAGGUACGUCUACCAUCUGGGCCCUGAGGCAUCAUAAUGCUGAGGUACGUCUACCAUCUGGGCCCUGGGGGCUUCAUAACGCUGAGGUACGUCUACCAUCUGGGCCCUGGGGGCUUCAUAAUGCUGAGGUACGUCUACCAUCUGGGCCCUGAGGCUUCAUAAUGCUGAGGCUUCAUAAUGCUGAGGUACGUCUACCAUCUGGGCCCUGAGGCGUCAUAAUGCUGAGGUACGUCUACCAUCUGGGCCCUGAGACGUCAUAAUGCUGAGGUACGUCUACCAACUGGGCCCUGAGGCUUUAUAAUGCUGAGGCUUCAUAAUGCUGAGGUACGUCUACCAACUGGGCCCUGAGGCUUCAUAAUGCUGAGGCUUCAUAAUGCUGAGGCUUCAUAACGCUGAGGCACGUCUACCAUCUGGGCCCUGAGGCUUCAUAAUGCUGAGGUACGUCUACCAUCUGGGCCCUGAGGCUUCAUAACGCUGAGGUACGUCUACCAUCUGGGCCCUGAGACUUCAUAAUGCUGAGGUACGUCUACCAUCUGGGCUCUGAGACUUCAUAAUGCUGAGGCUUCAUAAUGCUGAGGUACGUCUACCAACUGGGCCCUGGGGGCUUCAUAACGCUGAGGUACGUCUACCAUCUGGGCCCUGAGGCUUCAUAACGCUGAGGUACGUCUACCAUCUGGGCCCUGAGACUUCAUAAUGCUGAGGUACGUCUACCAUCUGGGCUCUGAGACUUCAUAAUGCUGAGGUACGUCUACCAACUGGGCCCUGGGGGCUUCAUAACGCUGAGGUACGUCUACUAACUGGGCCCUGAGGCUUCAUAAUGCUGAGGUACGUCUACCAUCUGGGCCCUGGGGGCUUCAUAACGCUGAGGUACGUCUACCAUCUGGGCCCUGAGGCUUCAUAAUGCUGAGGUACGUAUACCAACUGGGCCCUGAGGCUUCAUAAUGCUGAGGUACGUCUACCAUCUGGGCCCUGAGGCGUCAUAAUGCUGAGGUACGUCUACCAUCUGGGCCCUGAGGCUUCAUAACGCUGAGGUACGUCUACCAUCUGGGCCCUGAGGCUUCAUAAUGCUGAGGUACGUAUACCAACUGGGCCCUGAGGCUUCAUAAUGCUGAGGUAUGUCUACUAACUGGGCCCUGAGGCUUCAUAAUGCUGAGGUACGUCUACCAUCUGGGCCCUGAGGCUUCAUAAUGCUGAGGUACGUCUACCAUCUGGGCCCUGAGGCGUCAUAAUGCUGAGGUACGUCUACCAUCUGGGCCCUGGGGGCUUCAUAACGCUGAGGUACGUCUACCAUCUGGGCCCUGGGGGCUUCAUAAUGCUGAGGUACGUCUACCAUCUGGGCCCUGAGGCUUCAUAAUGCUGAGGCUUCAUAAUGCUGAGGUACGUCUUCCAUCUGGGCCCUGAGGCUUCAUAACGCUGAGGUACGUCUUCCAUCUGGGCCCUGAGACUUCAUAACGCUGAGGUACGUCUUCCAUCUGGGCCCUGAGGCUUCAUAACGCUGAGGUACGUCUUCCAUCUGGGCCCUGAGGCUUCAUAACGCUGAGGUACGUCU
rnacentral:lncRNA from 8 species